rnacentral:rRNA from 1 species
UACGAAGGGGGCUAGCGUUGCUCGGAAUCACUGGGCGUAAAGGGCGCGUAGGCGGCCAUUCAAGUCGGGGGUGAAAGCCCAGGGCUCAACCCUGGAAUUGCCUUCGAUACUGUUUGGCUAGAGACCGGAAGAGGAGAGUGGAAUUCCUGGUGUAGCGGUGAAAUGCGCAGAUAUCAGGAAGAACACCCGUGGCGAAGGCGGUUCUCUGGGACGGUACUGACGCUGAGACGCGAAAGCGUGGGGAGCGAACAGG